rnacentral:rRNA from 1 species
GACGAACGCUGGAGGCGUGCUUAACACAUGCAAGUCGAGCGGUAAGGCCCUUUCGGGGGUACACGAGCGGCGAACGGGUGAGUAACACGUGGGUGACCUGCCCUCAGCUCUGGGAUAAGCCUGGGAAACUGGGUCUAAUACUGGAUAUGACUCCACGGUGCAUGUCGUGGGGUGGAAAGCCUUGUGCGGCUGAGGAUGGGCCCGCGGCCUAUCAGCUUGUUGGU